GUAGCAUUUGCUCCUUCGUCUUUAUCCAUGGAGAAACUGAAGAAGUCGGUGAUCGAAAUCGCCUACAGCAGGGACCACGCUAAGCUCUCUUCUCUGCAACGUUCCCUCAUCCCCUUUCUCUACAUGGCGUCUUCUCUCUACAAGCUCGGUCUGUCCCUUCGUCACCAUUUCUACCUCUACGGCAUAUGUUCCAAGCAUCGGUUGCCAGUGCCAGUUAUUAGUGUUGGGAAUUUGACUUGGGGAGGCAAUGGGAAAACACCAAUGGUCGAGUUCAUUGCCUUAUGGCUUGCGAGCUCUGGGAUUUCACCUCUAAUUCUUAAUAGGGGCUAUGCUGGUGGGGAUGAAGCUAAAAUGCUUAGGAGGCAUCUUGCUGGGAGUCUCGUUAAAGUAGGUAUUGGAGCAGAUAGGAGAGCAACUGCUGCUUGGUAUUUUAACAAAUAUGGUUAUGUUGGAUCUCGGAGUAGCACAUUGACUGAGAAGUGUUGUUUAGAACAAGCGAGAAAUCUUCCGAAGUCCGAAAAAAUUGGUGCUAUUAUUCUUGAUGAUGGGAUGCAGCACUGGAGUUUGCACCAUGACUUGGAGAUUGUUAUGUUCAAUGGGAUAACACUGUGGGGAAAUGGGCAAUUAUUACCACUUGGACCUUUAAGAGAACCAUUGGCUGCACUCGAGAAGGCAGACGUUGCCAUUAUUCAUCAUGCUAAUCUGAUUUCGGCACAAAGAAACGAAGAUAUCAUUAUAACGUUGCGGAAAAUUAAGGAUUCGCUUACUGUGGUGUUUACCGAAAUGGCUCCCUCAUUCUUCUUUGAAGUUACAAAUAUCAAUUCCAGAAUAUCUUUGGGAACAUUGUCUAACAGUGUUGUAUUAUGUGUUUCUGCCAUUGGCUCUGCUGAUGCUUUUGUGCAGACAAUGCAGAAGAUAGGAGCAUAUCAUGUUGAUCGACUCGACUUCACCGACCAUCACAUGUAUCAAGACAGGGACAUGGCAUUGAUUAAAAUAAAGCUUGAGGAAUUGGAGAAGACGUUGGCCUCUAAACCAGUCAUUGUUGUUACAGAAAAGGAUUAUGAUCGGGAUCCAGCGAUAUUCGAGAACUUGCAUCCAUACCGUGUUUUGGCCCUUCGUUCUCAACUGAAAAUCAUGAACAUCAAAGGUUGCAACGAGGAUCGCUUCGAGGAGUUGUUGGAGAAGACGGUACGAGUGAAAUUGUCUUCUGUAAUGAGGUCUUCUGAGCUCGAAGUCUGCAGUUGAGGUGGUGAAAUCAUUGACCAACGUCUCACUAAUCGACAACAACUUGUAUAGAAUCUUGUUGCCCGUUGUCUUCAACCUUAUAUUUCAAAGGGAUUUCACUGCUAGUAGACAUUUUCGAGUUUUCUCAUCGAACAAUUUGGAGUUUAAUUGCUUAUACACAAUUCACUCUUUUUUCUUCUAUUGGAUUUCAUUGCUAUGUCAUUCUUAGAUUUACGACCAUUCAAGCAUCUCUGUUUGUUCCUAGUCGUUAAUUAGUCAUGGUCGGUCUCGUAUCCGCCUCCAAUAUAACUUUGCACGCUUGUGAGAUAUCGUUCACCCUUUGUUAUAAAGUGCAAAGUUUAUCGAGGAGGAGAUCGUACACUCAUUGGCUGUCGAAAAGAUAAGAAACUCAUUGUGAAGUAAGGGACAACCAAUUGAUCUAGUUCAAUUCGACCGGCUAGUUCAAUCCAAUACUCAAAUCUUACCUCAACUUUAAGUUAUUUUCAUUACUUCAACCUCAAAAUGUUGUUGAUGCAGCAUCGUUUACCCUCUAUCAUAAAGUACAAAGUUUAUCAAGGAGGAAACCAUGCGCUCAUCAGUUGUCGAAAGGGGAAAAAAACAUGUGAACGCUCACUAUGAAUUAAGGGACGAGUGAUCAAUCCGGUUCAAUCCGAUCCGGUUGGUUCAAUCCAACUAAACUGGUAUGGUUCAAUUCAACUAGUUUGUUCUAUUUUUGUUGGGUUUUUAGUCGAUUUUGAUCAUACCAAUUUUUAUUAUGAUUUAGGGUAUGAUAUAAAGAUAUUGGAAAAUUUAAACGAAAUACACUAUCCAGUCACGUUUUGAAGUUUCCAUAGUAAGUAGUUGUUGUACAAGUUUACGUGCCCUACCUUACAUGAUUGAGCAUUAAAGGGUAGUAUAAAUUAUUGGUUUUGGUAUUGUGCUCAUGGCUUCCACAAGAAACACUGCACAUGUGAUCAACAAUUUCUCAUGUGAUCAUCUAUUACAAAAUCUAACCAACAAACAAAACACAUCAACAAUCAUAGAUUCUAAAAUUGGUAUAAGAAAGAGGGAACUUUCAUGUUUUACUUCUUUCGAACUCGAAUGGACGAACCAAUUUUUGAUGUUCGUUUAUUAAUUUGAGUAUACUUUUAUAGUAAAUUAUCAAUUGUUAUCGAAAAGGUUGGUUGUUUGA